UUUAAACUUCCUUAAAUUUCGUUUAUUAUACUAAAAAUUAAAAAUAAUUUUUACUUAAAAUCAAUUUUAAAAUGAAAUUUUUAACAAUUAUCCUCCUGCUUGUUCUUAUUUUCUGCAAGUCCCAUGGCAUGGCUGUUCCUGCAAUUAUUAUAGACAAACGAUGCACUAAACUGAACCGGCUAGCCCAUUUGAGGGUUCGAUGGUAAAAUUAUAAAUAAAAAUAGAGAUCCGAAGACCCAUGGCCAGCAUUAUUUAUAUAUUUCAUUACUAUUUUCUUAUUUCUUGCCCGAUGAAUAUCACAAUGAUACUCUGAUAAA